rnacentral:rRNA from 1 species
UACGUAGGGUGCGAGCGUUGUCCGGAAUUACUGGGCGUAAAGAGCUCGUAGGUGGUUUGUCGCGUUGUUCGUGAAAACUCACAGCUCAACUGUGGGCGUGCGGGCGAUACGGGCAGACUGGAGUACUGCAGGGGAGACUGGAAUUCCUGGUGUAGCGGUGGAUUGCGCAGAUAUCAGGAGGAACACCGGUGGCGAAGGCGGGUCUCUGGGCAGUAACUGACGCUGAGGAGCGAAAGCGUGGGGAGCGAACAGG